CUCGUCAUAUUGAGGCCCAGUAUGUGGGCAAUAGUAGGGGGAUUCACCAUGCAGCAUGGCAAAUAUGGUGGGCAGCGUGGGAGCUCAUCACCCCGUGCCCUGCAUUGCUCUUUUACCCAUCCCAGAGUGGAGCAUCGCUGCCUGGCUCACUGACUCACCCCAUUCUUUCCUAUGAGAACAUGGGAAGCCUCUUGUGUUCUCUGGGAAGCGUCCUAACAUAUUGCCAGGAUGCUGAAAAAAUGAAACUGUGCUGGAAGUAGCGGUGUGUCGUCUAAAGGCAUCCAGCAGGCUUCAUCCUCCCAGCAUCCUCCAAACAUCCUAGGAUGCUAAAAUUCAUUAAUAUGAUGAGGUCCUAAGUUAGUAGCUAUUUUUAUCUUUUAAAACUAUUUGACCUGUUAUUUUAAAGUUACUUGUAAGCCUUCCUAAAAUCUUUUUGAUAUAGUAGGAAAACUGAAAUAAAUGAAUUUCUAAAUAUUGUCCUCAUAAGAUUCCUGUUAUAUUAUACACGCAUCAUAUAUAUAAAUAUAUUAAUUAUAUCUCACAAUUAUACAUAUUCUGAUAAAACAAAUAUCUGUUUUUCAAUAUAAAUUAUUUCACUUCUCCAAUUUGUAAAACUCAAAGCAUCUUUUUUUAAAAGAAUUUCCUUUAUUUCCUUUCUCUUUUUAGAUAAAGACAAGUGGAGUACUCAAGUUUUUUGAUUAUGGUUCUGAGAAUAUCAUGAAAUAUAGUCAGGUUGCCCCUCCUGCAUACAACAUUCAAAAAAUGGCUGUACCAAUUGCAAUGUGGAGUGGUGGACAUGACAUAAUGGCAACACCAAAGGAUACUAAACAGUUACUGCCUCUUCUUCAGAAUCUCAUAUACUACAAAGAAAUCCCACAUUGGAUGCAUUAUGAUUUUAUUUUUGGGCUUGAUGCACGUCAAGAAGUAUAUGAUGAAAUCAUUGAAAUCAUCCAGAAUUUUCCCUAAACAGAUUACUCUGAUCAGAAUUUUUUUGGAAUCUGCAGUUAAAGUGGUUUACUAGAACAUAAUUAUGUUAUUUCAUAGUAUGAAGAACUGUUGCAAUCAAAUCAGAAAUAGAAAACUUUAUUUCAAUAUCACAAGCCAAAUACCACUAGAAUCAAGUCUCAGAGCAAAUUAGCUUUCUCCAGCCAUGGAAAGUCUAUGAGUCAUGAUACAAAAAACAAAACAAAACAAAAAAACAGAAACAAAACCUAUGUGCCACCUGUCAUACCUGUAUUGUAUUUUCCCCUAUUUUGGAAGAUGCUAAGACCACCUUUAGAGGCUUUCCUCCUUGUAGUGAUGGCGAUAGUCAUAAAAUGAUGUCAUAUGUAGCUAUAGAACACAGAAUAGAAUCUCCUCCUCAGAAACUUUUACUAUAUGUCUACAUUUUAUUUAUAAUGCCAGAUGAAGACCUUUGUAAUCACACAAGCAUUGUAAUCUUUUGUAUUUUUUAUUUGGCUGUAUUAAUUCAAAUACUUUUGGUGUUUGCUGCUUCAAGUUAAUUAAGUAAGUUCUAUGUAAUUGCAGAUUGUUAUAAUUAUCUUAAGGUAUUAAGCAUUUACUAUUGACCUAAGGAAUGUAUAUGGAAUGAUGUGCAAUGAUUUUUUGGAACGGCCCGGAUUACACUUGUGGAUUACGUGAUUAAUUAUGAAUGCAUUGUUUUAAAUAUUUUAAUUGUUUCAAUGUAUUUUAUCAUUCUCUUUUAAUGUCCAUUUGAAUUGUACACUGUUUUUAAGGUAUAAAUUGUUGCCUAUUUGUAAAGUCACCUUGAGUCCCCUCUGGGGUUGAGAAAGACAAGGUAGAAAUACCAUAAAUAAAUAAUAAAUAAAAUAAAUGUGAGCACUGAUAAUAAAAAAACAGAUUUUGCACUGAUUUCUCAUAAGAAAAUGAAAUAAAGUAAUUUUCAGUUUUCUACAAAUGCCCCUGAUAAAUGGUUUUGGUGGUUCCAGAUUAUUAGGCUUGAGCCAGAAUAAGUCUGAACGAAAAUGAUUUAUAGUUUCCAAUGGGAUAUUUUGUAUAAUUCUUGAAAACAGAAUGGGGAGGAGGGAGACAAAAAGUCCAGCAAAACAGACCAAGAAGGCCAGAUUUAUAGAGUCCACUUUUUUGGGGAUAAAUGUUUUUGUCUAAACUUUUUUAAAUCCCCUCAAAUCAGUGGAUGUGUGAAUCUUUCUGAAAUUUGGAUGGAUUGAUGUCAUGGUUAUCUUGUGUAUUGUAUAUAAAAUUCAAGUAAAUAGCUCUUGUAGUGUUUUAAAAAUACUCUGUUUUUAAAAAUCCAU
rnacentral:lncRNA from 11 species